rnacentral:rRNA from 1 species
UACGUAGGGUCCGAGCGUUGUCCGGAAUUAUUGGGCGUAAAGGGCUCGUAGGCGGUUUUGUCGCGUCUGCUGUGAAAAAUCCAGGGCUUAACCCUGGACCUGCAGUGGGUACGGGCAGACUGGAGUGCGGUAGGGGGAGAUCGGAAUUCCUGGUGUAGCGGUGAAAUGCGCAGAUAUCAGCAGGAAUACCCGUGGCGAAGGCGGCCCCCUGGGCCGUACCUGACGCUGAGGCGGCGAAGGCUAGGGGAGCGAACGGGG